GCACAGUCUGGUUUUAUUUAUGUUCACAGAGAAGCUCUGUGAGCACAUAGAGUUAUUUUUCCCUGCAUUGUUCAGCACCCCUUCCCCGGGCUGAGUACUUCUGGCAAGAUACUUGAUAUUUCUACAUGAGAAAGGGAAAUUAAGCUUUCUUCCUUCUCUCCCUCCUAACCUACUGACCUGCUUUACCUGCUUCUUUCUGACUUCAGGACCCUACCAAAAGAUAUUGUUGUUUGUCCUUCCUUCUCGAAGAGGACCAUGAUAUCAGGAAGAUGAUGCCAUGACUUGCAA